CGGCAGGAGAGGAGCCGGUACGCAGUACGCAGAGCGCACAGUGCACAUUCUUCGAGUCGCCAAGGUAGACAACUCUGCGCGAAGCGUCUCCGCGCUCUAAGAAGUGAUUCGGUUUAAUUUCUGUCGCGUUUCUUGUGGGGUUCGGACGAAGGAACAUGGGCCAACUGACUGAACAUAAUCUCAGGAGGGAUUUGCGGAGUGCCCAAAACUUUACCGAGGCUUCCGAGUACGCACAUUUCAGCGGGAAUCGAGUUGCAUGGAAAGCUGAGCAAGUUCUGCAAGAGGACUAACUCGCCUCCAUACUUCAAGACGCGGAAAUUAUGCCACACACUGUAAAAAUACUCAACUGCAUUGGUUGAGCUGCUCCCAGAGCUCCCCCCUGUCCAGCAGGUAGCACUCUUUCAAGGCGCUGUGCUAGACCCUCAUCAGUAUUACUCGUGAUGUGAACAAACAUAAACCUGCCGUGAAUUUUUGCAUCACCCGCGAAGAUCUUUCCCAAGCGGUGGGCCAGGUACAUACCCAACUCCAUCAGAUCCGUAGACAAUUCCUUGAUUGCCUCGAUCAUUUGGAGCAAUUCUGAGUUGCUUUUGGCUGCUUCCAGAGCAUCUACGGAGCUGCACACUUUCAAGUAUUUAACUUGCAUUUGCACACUUGCAAGUGUUAAGCAGUUUUCUGCUAAUCUCAAUCUGUAGUAGGUUGCCAGUGUAAACUGCAGAACUAAACGUUUGCCAGUUGUAACUGCAGAACUCUUCUUUAGUUCGCUAAUUCUAACUGCUGAACUCUUAAGAUUUGCACCAACAACUGGGAAAGUGUUCUUCAAGUAGAACUGUAGAACGAAAAAGUUAUGCAUUUAGAACUGGUGUGCUAAAGAGCUAUGCAGUUACAACCAGCAAACUUUUAGUUCUGCAGUUUACACUGGCAAACUACUACACACUC